rnacentral:rRNA from 1 species
CAGUAGCCGCGGUAAUACAGAGGGUGCAAGCGUUAAUCGGAAUUACUGGGCGUAAAGCGCGCGUAGGUGGUUUGUUAAGUUGGAUGUGAAAUCCCCGGGCUCAACCUGGGAACUGCAUUCAAAACUGACUGACUAGAGUAUGGUAGAGGGUGGUGGAAUUUCCUGUGUAGCGGUGAAAUGCGUAGAUAUAGGAAGGAACACCAGUGGCGAAGGCGACCACCUGGACUAAUACUGACACUGAGGUGCGAAAGCGUGGGGAGCAAACAGGAUUAGAUACCCCCGUAGUCCCUGUCUCUUAUAC